UGGAAACUGAGAGUGCAAGCAGAGCU
rnacentral:piRNA from 1 species